CGCUAGCUACAGGCUUAACACAUGCAAGUCGAGGGGCAGCAUGGGAGUUGCUGCAAUCCUGAUGGCGACCGGCGCACGGGUGAGUAACGCGUAUCCAACCUUCCCCUUAGUAGGGCAUAGCCCGGUGAAAAUCGGAUUAAUACCCUAUGUUUUCCAAUGGCAGACAUCUAAAAUGGACAAAGGUUUACCGCUAAGGGAUGGGAUGCGUCUGAUUAGGUAGUAGGCGGGUAACGGCCCACCUAGCCUUCGAUCAGUAGGGGUUCUGAGAGGAAGGUCCCCCACAUUGGAACUGAGACACGGUCCAAACUCCUACGGGAGGCAGCAGUGAGGAAUAUUGGUCAAUGGGCGAGAGCCUGAACCAGCCAAGUAGCGUGCAAGGGAUGACGGCCCUAUGGGUUGUAAACUGCUUUUAUAUGGGGAUAAAGUUCACCACGUGUGGUGUUUUGUAGGUACCAUAUGAAUAAGGACCGGCUAAUUCCGUGCCAGCAGCUGC
rnacentral:rRNA from 1 species